ensembl:lncRNA
GAAAAUAUUGCUGUGGCUUUAAUCACUGCAAGCUUAGCUCUGCAAGCAGAGAGCUUGCAUGGCUUUUUCCAGGGAUUUAUUAAAGCAGAUCUGUGUGUUUCUGUGUGAGUUGUAUUGCAAACAUGAGUGGCAUUCUUUUCCCCAGUAUCUCCUUUUCACUACCUGACCAUGAUUUAAUCUCUGAUAUAUCAAUUCUCAAAAAACCCACAAGGAACUCACCUCUCCCCAUGGUACUUCUGCACACACCUUGUUGCUAAGAACUGUGUCACAAUGUAUGAGUCAGCUACCUUGGGAGUCUUGCAUACACUUAUGUGACAGAGUCUGGAGGAGCUGAGUGACUGGACAUUGCACGAACUUCUCCCCCACGAACUGAUUGCAACACAAGGCCAUUUAUAGCAGGCUCCUGCUGUACUUCUGGGCUGCCUGCAUUCCCUAGGGAAUGCUAGCAUGUACACCACUUCUUGACUGGUUUCCAGGAGGCUUAUGAGCUUCAAAAGCAAUUUGCCAACCUCGGAGCCACCUUGUUAGAUGACCUAGGAGAAGAUGUGCUGGCAAGGGUCCCUGGUCCAUCAGCAGGAGGCUGGAGCAACUGGGCUCUACUUGCAAGUUGUGUCCUGCAGCACUACAUGGGUCACCACGAAAGGAGGGCGUGUUGUGGAUGAUCUGAGUCCUGAAGCGGAUCUUAUUAAGCCGAGGCUUCAUCCGUCCGCUGCCAGAGGCUUUCCUGGUCAUCUCCUUGCCUUUGCCGGGCACCGCUGCCCCAUCGGUACCGUCAGCUUCCUCCCCAGCGCCGUGAUGGUGGUGGGAGAGCCGGUAGUUCAUGAGAUUAGACGGCAACACCUUGGAGAGCCUCCAGCGCCCGCUCCCAUUGCCAGCAUUCCCUUCCUCCUCCUCCUCCUCCUCCAGGGCCCCCACGAGGUUCCGCAUGUCCCCCGAGGCGCCCUGCUGCAGGUACUGCGCGGCCUUGCGCCCGCUGUAGUCGCGGAUGUCCACGUCGGCGUCGUAGGCUCCCACCAGCAGCUUCACGACCUCGGCGUGGCCGUGCAUGGCGGCGAUGUGCAGCGCCGUGUGCCCGCCGCUCGUGCGGGCGUUGAUGUCCACGGGCAGCCCGUGCCGCUGCGCGAAGUUCACCAGCGUGGCCAGCAGCUCCUGCCGCCCGUGCUUGGCGGCCCAGUGCAGCACCGUGAAGCCGGUGAUGAAGUCCCGCUUGCAGAGCAGCGCCGGCUCGCAGCUCAGCAGCCCCUCCAGGCUCUCCCACCGCCCGUCCGAGGCCGACAGCAUCCAGGCGUGCUCCAGGGGGUCCAGUGCCACGGAGCCGGUGGUGCUCCCCUCCUCCUCGGCGGAGGACGAGGCCACCGAGGCGCUGUCCGAGUCGCGGCCGCGGCCCGCGCCGGGGAGGGCGCCGCGCUUCAGCUGAGGGGAGCUGCCCCGCGCCGCCUCCCGCAGGCUCCGGCGGCCGCCGCCCUGCGCCGCCCCCCCCCCCCCCCCCCCCCCCCCCCCCCCCCCCCCCCCCCCCCCCCCCCCCCCCCCCCCCCCCCCCCCCCCCCCC